rnacentral:ribozyme from 1 species
GAUAUCUGUGUCCCUGUAACGGGAUGGGAUCUGAAGCUCCCUGAAGAUUCCAUUCAACUCCUAGUGCGACACGUUCACGUCGUGCAGGGUGGUAACAUGGGCCCAAGUCCAGCCAUUUGGCCGGA